CCCAUCUUCAGGUGCGGUAAUUAGACAGUUUUCGAACCAUGAGGUGUCAUAGAGUUCAGAUGGGUCCUAUCUUCAGGUGCGGUAAUUAGGCAGUUUUCGAACCAUGAGGUGUCAUAGAGUUCGGAUGGGUCCCAUCUUCAGGUGCGGUAAUUAGACAGUUUUCGAACCAUGAGGUGUCAUAGAGUUCAGAUGGGUCCUAUCUUCAGGUGCGGUAAUUAGGCAGUUUUCGAACCAUGAGGUGUCAUAGAGUUCGGAUGGGUCCCAUCUUCAGGUGCGGUAAUUAGGCAGUUUUCGAACCAUGAGGUGUCAUAGAGUUCGGAUGGGUCCUAUCUUCAGGUGCGGUAAUUAGGCAGUUUUCGAACCAUGAGGUGUCAUAGAGUUCGGAUGGGUCCUAUCUUCAGGUGCGGUAAUUAGGUAGUUUUCGAACCAUGAGGUGUCAUAGAGUUCAGAUGGGUCCUAUCUUCAGGUGCGGUAAUUAAUGUUUACCCCAGUGUGAACAGAGAAUUUAUUUCAACAUCUGUGCAUACGAGCACCUUACACACAAAGGCAACAUAAAUCCCCUAGAAUGCAGAGCGUUUAACUGGGAAAACACUGGACAGCAGCGUUGAUAAUUUAUUAAGCACAGCUGGCCCAGCACAGCUUCAGGCAACACCUCUGAGCUGAUCUGUAGCCUGUAGUUUCUGCAAGGCACAUUUUAACUGGGAGGAAUGGUUCAAUUCACAGUGACACACCCAGCUUACAAUGAGAGAUGUGGUGAGAAAUGACUCCCAUUACUGUAGCUAAAGUAAAGUAAUGAUUGAUUUCCCCAGAUUCAAACAAAAUAAUAUGAUGCCAUGAAAAUCACGUGGAGAGAUUAAGUUUGCUGAAUGAGCACCCUCAUGGAAGGAGAUGGGUGUUGCUAUUAAGACUCAGAUACAAUGCUAUACAGGACAAAGGAGGAAUGGAUAGUUGUGGACCUGGAGCGGAAAUG